rnacentral:tRNA from 1 species
AAGAUGCUAGUUAAAUGAUAACAAUGCUUUGUCAAAGCCAAAUUACAGACCCACCCCUGUGUAUCUUC